CGCAUCUGUGCAUGCAGCAUAUCAUAAGCGGAGGAAAAGAAACUAACAAGGAUUCCCCUAGUAACGGCGAGUGAAGCGGGAAGAGCUCAAAUUUGAAAUCUUAAAGGGUUUCCCUUUACGAAUUGUAGUUUAAAGAAGUGUUUUCUGUUGAGGUUUUGGUAAAAGUUCUUUGGAAUAGGACAUCAUAGAGGGUGAGAAUCCCGUAUUUGACCUUUACUUUCAACUUUGUGAUACACUUUCAAAGAGUCGGAUUGUUUGGGAAUGCAGUCCAAAAUGGGUGGUAAAUUUCAUCUAAAGCUAAAUAUUGGCGAGAGACCGAUAGCGAACAAGUACCGUGAGGGAAAGAUGAAAAGAACUUUGAAAAGAGAGUUAAACAGUACGUGAAAUUGUCAAAAGGGAAGCGUUUGACACCAGUGUUGUUUUUCUGAAAAUCAAUUAAAGAACUGUUUAUGCUAAGCUGUUUAGACUUUAUCAGCUAUCUGUUUAGUUUUGAGCUUUUCUUUAAUGCACUUUUCAGUUAACAAGUCAACAUCAAUUUCUUUUGCUGUAAAAAAGCUUGAGGAGAAGGUGGCUUGAGAUUCGUCUUAAGUGUUUAUAGCCUCUUGCCUAUGCAGUCGGAGAGAUUGAGGUCUGCAGCGUAGAUCCUUCGGGGCUAAAUGCAUUUGUGCUAAGUUAUAGCAUUUUAUAGACAACUUGUUGACUAUGAUUUGUCUUGUAGUCUUACUCGCUUAUGUUAUUUUACCUACGCUUAGGAUGUUGAUAUGCAUGACUGAUAU
rnacentral:rRNA from 1 species